rnacentral:tRNA from 1 species
GGGUUUGUAGUUGAAAGAAAAUUAUAAUUUUGUACGUUAUAGGUGAUGAAAAUCCAUUCCCU